CAAUAAUGAAGAGACUCCAUGAGAGGGACAGACAGCUGCCAGAUCUGCGUGCCAAGUUGUGUUGAACCGCCGCAGAUAUUACCCGUGAGUACUUGAACCUGCACAAUUACAGUGAAGAGUCGACCAAGUGAACAGGAAUAAUUUCCACUGUCUGAAAGUUUGGCAUCCGCAAUUGAAAUUCGACUGUUGAGCCACUUAUCGGAUACGCUGUGAAUUAAGUAUACGAUUAAUUGAAAUUGAAGCACACGAAAACUGGAUUAAGCAACCUGGAGUGAGGCCACAUUUGACGAUUUUGAGCAGAUAAGCCUCAAUAUGAGCUACUUUAACUAAAACACUAUGCAUUCACUACGGGCCGGGACUGAGGCUAGUCGGGAGCGGUCAACUAGAAGGCACCCGGAAUGAAUUUAUCGAUUUUGAACGAUAAGAAAAUAGAAUGAGUUAUCGAAAAAAAAACAAGGUACAUCGUACUGCGUAUGGUAUACAGGAAUCUAUACUUAAAAUUGCAAGUCUUUAGCUUUACCCCUUCAUACCAACGGACGGAUGGACAGGCAUGGCUAGAGUGACUCAGCGCGUUGUCUUGAUCAAGAAUUUCUGCCACGUCUCUCUCUACCUGUUACCUAUAUAACCAAUAUAUUCUGCAAUCCCAGUUUCAGCAGGUACAGAGCAACCUUGUUGCUUAAGAAACCUGCAUUGAGUUUCUAG